rnacentral:lncRNA from 1 species
AAUGCAAGUGUUUAACAGAUGCUUCACUAUUAAAAUAUUUUCCCCCCAAGUCUCAAAUAUUGAAGAAUCUCUAACCAGGUACAGUAUCACUCUGCUCUCUUUUCUGGUUGAAAAGAAAGAAAGAAAGAAAACGCAGGUAUUGCUUUUCGAAGUGCUUUGUAGGUAAUCGAGGUAAGAAAAUAUACGCAGGCAGCCUCUUACAAUUUUAUGCAGGGGCGCCGGGAGCCUCGUGACGGGCGGUGGGGGCCCCCACAAAGGCGCGGCUGGGAGCUGGCGCUCUUUGCCCCAGCAGGGACGAGGAGCGGCUGGAGAAGGGUGUUUCUUUGACCCGUUUACAGGCUCGAAACGCCGGUCUCAGUGGCUAUUGAGUUACCCACCAAGUUACCCCGGUUAGAGCUGUUUGGGGUGGCUCACGUUAUUGCGGCAAACUUUGGAGAUGACGGCUGAGUCCUCCGGGCGAACAUGUCAAGCCGAUUGUAAAUGCUGUUAUUUCCACAUCCUUCAGGGACACCAGUCCCUACGAAGACCUUGGGCGAUUUUGAAGUGCGGGCACCUCGAUUCCCCGAAUCUGUAGUGUGGCUGGUAUCGGUGUUCCCCUGGUUUAACUAGCCUGUUUGGUAAGUAACUGAAUAUUUUUUACGGCGUGUUCAGAGCUUAUUUUCCAGUUUUUAUGAACAAACAUAUAAAUAUAUCUCUGCAUUCCUGCCUCCCUCAUAAAAGCGGGCAUCUGUGGAAAGCAGGUUUAGUUAUCGGAGGGGAACCAUUAAACGCCAGUUUAAGAGGCAGGCCGGGAGGACGGCUCGUGGAUGUUGAGACUGCUGGCCUUGGUGAUCUUGAACGCAUUAUAACGGAAAAUGGAUCUCCACUUAAGGCACAGAUCAUUCAUGGGGAUGUAUAACCGAAACCAGUCCUCUCCACCGCCUGGGGAUCUUCACUUUCGCAGUCUACGACUGCCUGUGACUCCAGAAAGACAAACUGCAGAUUGGCCAAGAUGGGGAAAUUGAGGCAGAGAAGCCAAGACAUGUGCUAAAGGUCAUGCAGGCUAUGAAUGGAGCUGGAAUGUGAACGCAGGCCAUAUGACCCCAGAGCCCAUGUUCUUGAACCCUUAGAAAGACAGCAGCAACACACCUGGUGCAGCAGCUGCUUAGUUGGAGUGGCUGACAAGAGAUCCUGGCAAAUGGGUGUUUCUUCCCAGAAAGGGAUUUUUCUCCAUGACUGCAGUUGAAUUGCAGAGUUGUAGAGACAUCCAGGUUCUUGUUAGUGUGGACGAACUAUCCAUGAAGAUCUUAAAUGCAGGAGUCUAUGAGAACACCAAUUAAUCAAUUGUCAAAUAUUUGAGUAUCUAUUG